UACGUAGGGUGCAAGCGUUAUCCGGAAUUAUUGGGCGUAAAGAGCUCGUAGGCGGUUUGUCGCGUCUGCUGUGAAACAUGAGGCUCAACCUCCAGCCUGCAGUGGGUACGGGCAGACUAGAGUGCGGUAGGGGGAGAUUGGAAUUCCUGGUGUAGCGGUGGAAUGCGCAGAUAUCAGGAGGAACACCGAUGGCGAAGGCAGAUCUCUGGGCCGUAACUGACGCUGAGGAGCGAAAGCGUGGGGAGCGAACAGG
rnacentral:rRNA from 1 species